rnacentral:lncRNA from 1 species
CAGUGGGCAGGGCCUUACUUUCUUGUGAUCGUGCAGUCCGGCCGCCACCCCACAGUGCUGCAGAAGCUCUGCCAGUUGCCCUUCCAGUAUUUCAGUGACCCACGGCUGAUCAAAGUACUGUUCCCUUCACUUAUCGCUGCUUGUUACAACAACCAUCAGAACAAGAUCAUUCUGGAGCAAGAGAUGAGCUGUGUUUUACUGGCCACUUUCAUUCAGGAUUUGGCACAGACUCCAGGUCAAGCGGAAAACCAGCCUUACCAACCCAAAGGGAAAUGCCUUGGUUCCCAAGACUAUCUUGAGCUGGCUAACAGAUUUCCUCAGCAGGCCUGGGAAGAAGCUCGACAGUUUUUCUUGAAAAAAGAGAAAAAAUAAAUGUUUUGGUUGAUUCUGUAUUUGAGUACCCUUGUUAAUAUUUUAAAUUGUCCAAACAAACAUUCUAAUUGUUCCUUAAGAACUCAUUUUCCCAUGUUUAUACUCUUCCCACACUGUAGAUAUGGCAUGUACUUUACACUAUUUAUAAUGACUGUAGAUACUUGAAUGUUCUACUUGCUA